CUUCGGAACCUGCGUGAUACUAUCUCGAAUCGUAUGUCUAGAGAAUGUAACCUAGCGUUGGAAAAGAAAAUACAACUUUCAGCAAGGAUCUCUUGGCUCUCGCAUCGAUGAAGGACGCAGCGAAUCGCGAUAAGUAAUGUGAAUUGCAGAUUUUCCGUGAAUCAUCGAAUCUUUGAACGCACCUUGCGCUCCUUGGUAUUCCGAGGAGCAUGCCUGUUUGAGUGUCAUCGAAAAUCUCAAGCCAAGCUGUUUUGACAUUGGUCGAAAAAGCCUGGAUUUUGGAGUGUGGGAGGUCUGCAGGCGUCCCGAUCUUGGGACUGCCAGCUCUCCUGAAAUGCAUUAGUGGGAUGGGCAUUGCGACCAGCCUCAACGACGUCGUAACGCGAUCGUCGUGGACUUGUGAGCUUUCCCCCCCUUGACUUUCCUAUUGGUGAAGGCUGACCUCAAAUCAGGUAG
rnacentral:rRNA from 1 species